GGGGAGAUGCCGGAGUAGUCAAACGGACCAGACUGUAAAUCUGGCGGCUUUUAGCCUACGAAGGUGCGAAUCCUUCUCUCCCCACCA
rnacentral:tRNA from 1 species